AGUGACACUGCCUAUCUUCACACGCUACCUCUUCUGAUUACAAAUUACGCUAUAUAACUUCAUACGCUACUGACGCGCAUUGUACAACUUUAUUCGCUACCGGCACAUACAACAUACGCUACCGGCGCAUAGCGGAUUGCUGCUCUUAACUGUCACAUUGACGAUUGACGAUCCAAACCCUAUACAAGAAUGGGAGGUAAUGCUCUUGAAAUUCUUGCAUGCGUAAUACGUUGUAAUUUUUGAAUGCUUUUUAAAGAAAAAAUCAAGAACUUUGAAGUUAAGGAGCUUGAUGGAAUGCGUGGGAGUUGCUGGGUUUUUGAGGGGUCUUGUGAAUUUAAGGAGGCACAAAGGUUCUUGAGGAGUUGGUUUUCAACAGCACCUCAAGGCUGGUGCGACCAAGGCAUACUGAUGCUUGCAGCCAUGCGGGGUGUCAAAGCUUUUGAGCUAUCAUGUUUGGGCGUCGCAAAGUUAAACUUUUUUUGUUGGUAAAUCACCCUUUUGUGAAACUACACGACCUUCUACUUUUCUUUUUCUUUUAUUACUCUAUCUUAUAUAACUCAAAAAAAGCAAUUUAGCAUGAUCUUUUUGAGCUGAAAAACUGUUGAUUGGCAUGUCAGCUCAGGUGGGUAUAUGAGAUUUAGCAGAAAGUUCCAUUUCAUGGUGCAUUUUCUCUGUCUCAUAAGGCUUACUGAUGCUUGCAGCCAUGACAGACCGAUGCUCGCAGUCAUUCUGGGUGUCAAAGCUUUUGAGCUAAUCAUGUUUGGUUGUUGCAAGUUCAAUAUUUUUGUCGCUAAAUCAUCCUUUUUGUGAAACUACACGACCAUCUUCUUUCUUGUUCUUAUUACUCUCUCUUGUAUAACUCAAACAAGACAAUUUAAAUCUCUCUUGAGCUGAAAUACUGUUGCUUGGCAUGGCACCUCAGGUGGGUAUAUGAGAAUUAGGAGAAAGUUCCAUUUCAUGGUGCAUCUUCUCAGUAUCAUAAGGCUAACUGAUGCUUGCAGCCACGGACAGAUUCCAAAGCUUUUGAGUUGGUUCAUUUUUCGUCUUAGAAAAAUUCAGUUUCCUUCCCACCCUCCCCAAACCACCCUUUUCGUGAAAUUAAACAUGACGUUCCUCUUUUUUUUUUUUUAAUUACUCUCACUGCUCUGUUUAUUAAACCAUGAGGAUGUGGAGGUUUUGUCUUUUGUGGAGGUUCAAUAAUUCUUCUUGCUCUUCAGGUGGGUCUAUGAGAUUGGAAUUAAAUUUCCAUCUCAUGGUGUUUCUUCUCCAUCUCACACGACUGAUUGAUGCUUGUAGCCACGACAAAUUUCAAUUCUUCUGAGCUUAUCAUGUUUUGGCUUUGUAGAGUUCAAUUUUGUUUCUUUCACCAAACCACCAUUUUGGUGAAAUCACACACGACCUUCCAUUUUUCUUAUUUUUAGUGCUAUUUCCAGUAUAACUCAAAAGGGCAAUCAAACCUGUUCUCUCUUGAGCUGAAAAACUGUUUUUUGGCAUGGCAUCUCAUGUGGGUCUCUGAGAUUUUUGAAGAAGUACCAUUUCUUGGUGGUUUUUCUCUGUCUCUUAAGGGUUGCAGCCAUGACAUGUUUCUAAGCUUUUGAGCUGAUUUGUGUUUUGGGUUGAGUUUCUUACCCAUCCCUCAUCGUACCACCCUCUUUGUGAUAUUACACAUGCACUUUCUCUUCUCUUGUUCUUUGUACUCACUCUGCUCCGUUUUAUAUACAAUGAGGAUUUGGAGGUUUUCAUCCAUCGAGGAAUCAAAAAUGUCUCAUGUCAAACUAAAGAACUUUUGCUUGGCACGGCACUUCAGGCGGGUCAAUGAGAUUUUGGGAAAUGUUCCACUUAUUGGUCUUUCUUCUCUGUCUCCUAGGCAAACUGGUGUUUGCUGCCAUGCUGGGUUUCGAAGCUUUUGAGAUAAUCAUGUCCGGGCGUUGCAAAGUUCAAUUGUUUUGUCACUAUAUCAUCCUUUUGGUGAAACUACAUGACCUUUUGCUUUUCUAGUUCUUAUUACUCACUCAUGUAAAAUUCAAAAGAAGCAAUUUAACAAGUUCUCUCUUGAGCAGAAAAACUGUUGCUUGGCAUGACACCUCAGGUGGGUAUAUGAGAUUUAGGAGUAAGUUCCAUUUCAUGGUGCAUCUUCUCCGUCUCAUAAGGCUUACUGAUGCUUGCAGCCAAGACAGAUUUCAAUGUUUUUGAGUUGAUUUGUUUUUCGGCUUGGCACUUCCUCAAAUCACCCUUUCCGUGAAAUUAGACAUGACCUCCUUUUUUUGUUAUUCUUAUAACUCUUUCUCCUCUGUUAAUAAACCAUGAGGAAGUGGAGGUUUUUUUCUUUUGUGGAAUUUCAAUCGAACUUGUUUUCUCUCAAGGUGAUUAAACUGUUGCAUGGUAGUAGCUACGACACCUCAGGUGGGUUUAUGAGAUUUUGGAAUUAAAUUUCUAUUUCAUGGUGUUUAUUCUUCAUUUAACUUGACUAGCCAAUGCUUGUAGCCACGACAGAUUUCAAUGUUUUUGUUCUAACCGUGUUUUGGCUUCGCAUGUUCAGUUUUUUUCUCUCACCAACCUCCCUUCUGGUUAUAUUAUGCAUGACCUUCCAUUUAUUUUAGUACUCUCCCCGUAUUACUCAAAAUGGCAAUCAUUCAAACAUGUUCUCUCUUGAGCUGAAUAACUGUUGCUUGGUUGGCAUCUCAUGUGGGUUUGCGUGAUUAUGGGGAAAGUUCCAUAUCAUUUUGUACUUUUCUCUGUCUCACAAGGUUAACUAAUGCUUGCAGCCAUGACAGGUUUCUAAACUUUUGAGCUGAUUCAUGUUUCUUUCCCACCCAUCACCUAACCACUUGCACUCCCUCUUUUCUUAUUCUUAGUACUCACUCUGCUCUGCUAUAUACACAAUGAGAUUUGGAGGUUUUCAUCCAUUGUAUACAAUCAAACAUGUUGCUUGUCGAGCUAAAGAACUGUUGCUUGGCACAACACUUCCAGUGGGUCUGUGAGAUUUUGGGAUAAAUUCCAUUUUUUGUUCUUUCUUCGGUGUCUCAUAGACAAACUGAUGCUGGCAGCCAUGUUGGGUUUCAAAGCUUUUGAGCUAAUCGUGUUUGGACGUCUCAAAGUUCAAUCUUUUUGUCGGCAAAUCAACCUUUUGGUGUAGCCGCACGACCUUCUACUUUUCUUGUUCGUAUUACUCUCUCUUGUAUAACAUGUUCUCUUUUUUUGGCUAAAAUUUGAUGCUUGGCAUGACACCUCAGGUGGGUAUAUGAGAUUUAGGAGAAAGUUUCAUUUCAUGGUGCAUCUUCUCUGUCUCAUGAAGCUAACUGUUGCUUUGCAAGUUCAACUAUGACAGAUUUCAAAGAUUUUCAGUUGAUUCGUGUUUUGGCUUGGCAAAGUUCAGUUUCCUUUCACCUCACCCCAAACCACCCUUUUUGUGAAAGUGCACAUGACUUUCCUCUUUUCUUAUUCUUACUCUUUCUGCUCAGUUUGAAUACCAUGAGGAUAUGGAGAUUUUGUCUUCCCUGGAAGUUCAAUUGAACUUGUUUUCUCUCGAGCUGAUGAAACUGUUGCUUGGCACGGCACCUCAGGUGGGUCUAUGAGAUCUUGGAAUUAAAUUUUUAUUUCAUGGUGUUGCUUCUCCAUCUCAUACUGUUAACUUAUUUGUUUAUGAUUUUUGGACUACCAGGAAAAGGAAAAAAAAUAUGUAGGUCGCUUGAAGAUGAAACUGAAUAUUUGAAGUUUAUGUUCUCUUUGCUUUUCACAUUUCAUAUUGUUUCUUACUUCAUUUUUUUCCUUUUAAUUGUGGAUCCUUAUUUUUGCUCUCACAGAACCCAAAAAUGCUCUCUGCAAGCAAUACAAGCAAUCAACUUGAAUAAUGUUAGCCUAAAAAGGCAAGAAUGAGGCAGAGCAUGGUAUUUCUAUCAAGGUUGGUUGCCCCUCUCUCUCUAUGCUUCGCCUACGAUUCUCCAUUUUAAAACAAACCAAUAGCCCUUAAGAAAAGAGAGAGAUAGAGAGAGUUCUUUCGUUUCGACCCUCAUCUAUGAGAUGAGGAAUCCCUCAUAGCUAGAUUCAUCAGUAGCUUAGAAACUAGGAACUGGAUGAGGGGAAGUCAAUCUAAUCUCGGCCUAAGAGUGCACUUGAGUUUCUGGGUUUCUUUGCAUUUUUGCACCCUUGGACGUAUGCUCAUAUGGAGACACACAACUAUACUACAACAACAUGACUAUGAAAAUUAUUAAAGAGGCAGUGAUGAUUUCUGGGUUAACUAAAUUCGGGCAAUGAGAUUACCCAACCCGUAUCUUGGUGAGGCAAUCCGGUGUGUCCUGUAAUUGAGACGCAUAACCCACACAUGCAAUCAUGUAUUGCAGCCAUGGCGUGGUUGGCUUCUCUUUGGUCUUAUCAUAACACAAAUCUGAGCCUCAAUUUGCUAAAGAAAGAAAAGGGUAAAGGGUCAAAUUUACACCUUUACUAUGCAUAAGUUGCAAUAUCUUUUCCAUGAUUAAUGUGGGAGAUAUUGAACCCACACCCUUCUGAUUUGCUGUUUUAAUGCUUUUCAUUCGUAGUGUAUCUCCAUAUUUUGUUCUUGAAGGCCCCACUAGCACAACUGCAAAAAAAAAUUAUGUAGUUUAAUCGUAAGAAAAGUUGUGAUUUGUAGUACUUUGGAUGUAGACACUCAAUUAGACAUACUUCCGUAAAUACCAUCAGUGGUCAUUUUCCUUUACAUGGUCUUGAUUUUUUUAUUGCUUCUUAAAAGUUGAAAUUGUGACUUGUAAGAGAAUGGGGAAUUGGGACCUGCUGUAGUAAGGUGGGUGAUAAUGGUAAGUAUUACUUUCUUUGACAUUGAUCUAAUGCACUUUGAUGUGCAGUUUCUUUCUUUUGAAGGAUCAUCUGAUGUUAACUUUCUUUUGAAGGAUCAUCUGACGUUGCACUUUCUUUUGAAGGAUCAUCUGAAGUUGUACCUUCUUUUGAAGAAUCAUCUGAAGUUGUACCUUCUUUUGAAGGAUCACCUGGAGUUAUACUUUCUUGUUGGACAACUUCUUGAGUCCCCCCCACUAAGGAUCGGGGUAAGGUCUAUCUACCAAUGCUCGCUUUUAAUUAUAGAAUAAGGCUGUGAUGAUGACAUUUGAGGUUGUAUAAAUCUUCCUCUUUUCUUAUUCUUAUUACUCUCUCUGCUCUGUUUAUAAACUACGAGGAUGUGGAAGUUUUGCCUUUUGUGGAAGUUCAAUAAAACUUGUUUUCUCUCGAGCUGAUUGAACUGUUGCUUGGCACUGCAUCUCAGAUAGAACUACGAGAUUUUAGAAUUAAAUUUCUAUUUCACGGUGUUUCUUCACCAUCUCAUUCGGCUAACUAAUGCUUGAAGCCUAGACGGAUUUCAAUGCUUUGGAGCUUAUUGUAUUUUUGCUUCAUGAAGUUCAUUUUUUCUCAUUAAACCACCCUUUUGGUGAAACUACACAUCACCUUUCAGUUUUAUCUUUUUAGUACCCUCUCCGGUAUAACUAAAACUGCAAUCAAACAAUUUCUCGCUUGAGCUGAAAAACUAUUACUUGGCAUGGCAUCUCAUGUGGGUGUGUGAGAUUUUGGAGAAAGUUCCGUUUCAUGGUAUUUUUCCUCUGUCCCACAAGGGCAACUAAUGCUUGCAGCCGUUCCAGGUUUAUAAGCUUUAAGGGUAACUUAUGCGGCCAAUACUUGGGUCGGGCAUUGGAGCUACCCUUAUCUUUGCAAGGCAACCCUGUAAGGCAUCUCCAUUUUGCAACUGAGAUCUGCAGCCAUGCCGGUUGCUUUGUCUUCUUUUGGCUAGUUUUAUAACGAAUUUGAGCCUUAGGAGAAAGAAUUGGCCUAAUGACGCUUGAAGUCUUGUGAAUUCCCUUGUGUUAGGUCAGCCUAUAAAGGCAAGAAUGAGGCAGCAGGGACUAUGGUAUUUCUUAUCAAGUUCAUGCCUGAAAUAGCAAUUGCUACUCAACUAUACUGAUCAAAUUAUAAAUUGGGGUUGGGGGAUCUGCAAUAAUCAUUCUCAAGCUUCAAGAUCAUUUACCAGGUAAGCUACGAUCUUUGUUUAUAUUUUCAUUUCACAAACCAGUCUAUGGAACUUGCCAUUUACCAGAAAUUCCAUUGCACUAAAUUUUUCAAUGUUCAUUAAAGUUAAACCUUACUCCGAGCAUGAAGUUACAUGUUUUGGUUAAAGCUGGAACUUAAAUCUAAUCCAGAGGCAGCUAAUAUCUGUCAUGCUUUUUGCGGUAACAUUCUCUGCUGUCAUAUUAUACAUUCAAAAAGUUAAGUACAUGUAAGCCAUUUGCAAAUCAGUCUUUGAAGGGAAAGGCAUAUAAGUACUGAUAGUAGUUGUUAAUGUAGGAUUAGUUGCUCACCUACAUUUCUCAAACCUUUUACUACACUUUAUAGCUUGUUCUCUUCAACCUUCAUAUUCCUCCUCCUGAAGGAUCUAUGCCUGUCUAAAUGUGGAAAACAAAUCGCGACAAUCACUUCUUCUCAGGCUAGUUAUUCCUUUCUGAGGUGACAAUAACAGUUUAUAUCAGUUCUGUGCUCCAUCAUGUUGAAAGCCAGAAGGGUUUUUGAGGGUUUAAGGCUUUCAAGUGUCAUUUGAGUGCAUUUUCUCUUGAAGUCCAUUUUAUGUUUUAAUUGGGUUUAUUAUUGCAGUAACUUAUAAGGAAAGAGCUUUUUUGUUCUAGUACCAUCAUUAACAAGAGAAGGAUUGUUUUUUUGGUAGUACAGGUUCUGUGAAUUUUGUGUGUUAAUCUAACUGCUGUGGAUCUGUUAGAAUUUGUUUAACAGGUUAGUCCAUCGACACUAACUAGCUCUCAUAAUUUAAUCCUUCGUCUAACUCCAAUAUUUCUCAUGGAAUAUUUGCUCAAGUUCUCUGAAGAAUGUAUUUGCAACCCACAGCUUGCUGAUACAGAUGGAUCAUCAAUAGUGCCCCUAUUAGUGAAUAAACAAGGCUUGCGGUGUAAGUUAUUAUUUAAUUUGUGAAUUUGGAGCUAUCAUGAUGCUCUCUCGCCUCCAACCACCCCCACAUAUGAAAACGAGAGAACAGGGAACUACAAUCUGAAGUUAUUUAAGAUAUUUUUCUUUAUUCUUGUUGCCUUCAUUUUCAUUUUAUAAUGGAACAAUAGCUCUGAUAUGGACAAAGUGGAACAGAUACGAGGAAUGAGAAUUGUGCAUCUUCUCUGUCUCAUAGAGCUAACUAAUGCUUGCAGCCAUGUCAGAUUUCAAAGCUUUUGAGUUGAUUCGUGUUUUGGCUUGGUAGAGACCAAUUUCCUUUCCCCCUAACCCAAACCACCUUUUCGUGAAAUUACAUGACUUUCCACUUUUGUUAUUCUUUUUCUACUCUUUCUGCUUAGUUUAUGAACCAUGAGUAUAUGGAAGUCUUGUCUUCCAUGGAAGUUCAAUAAAACUUGUUUCUCUCGAACUGAAUGAAUCACUGAUCAAAGAGCUGUAAAAUUGUUGUUUGGCAUGGUAUCUCAUGUGGAUUUCUGAGAUUUUGGAGAAAGUUCCAUUUCAUGGUGUUUUGAUCUUUGUUUCACAUGACUAACUAAUGCUUGCAGUCGUGAUAGGUUUCUAAGCUUUAGAGCUGAUUCGUGCAUUGUGUUGAGCCACCCCUUACCGAACCACCCUUUGUGAUUGCACAUCCACUCCCUCUUUUCUUAUUCCUAGUGUUGACUUUUCUCUUUUCGUGGUAUUCACAAAUACAUAUUUUAAGGAAAUGAAGAAUUCUUGCAUGAAUGCUUGAUAAAAAAUUCAAGAACUUGUUGGCGAAUUAUAAGGAAAUCACAGAAAUCGUAGUUUUCAAGAAUAUAUUGGCAUUGCACAUAUAAAGGAAACUUAAGAAAUCUUUUUUCUUAAAAAAAUUAUGUUGUUAUUCUUGCAAUGUGUGUUAAUGAUGUUCAAAAAUUUGUUUUUACCUUUUUAGUGUGAUUGGGAGCAUUAAGCGAAUGCCUCCGGCUAUUUGGAGCUUAACCCAGUUUCCACCAGGUAUGUGUUGCUAUAGGCAUUGGGACCUGCUAUGGUAAGGUGGAUGGCAAUGGUAAGCAUUACUCGUGCAGUAAGUUUUGUUCAAUUUAUUAUAUAUUACUUCAUUAUCUGAAGUUGUGAUUUCUUCCGAAGGAUCAUCUCAAGUUGCACUUUCUUUUGAAGAAUCAUCUGAUUCUGAAGUUGUACUUUCUUUUGAAGGAUCAUCUCAAGUUGCACUUUCUUUUGAAGAAUCAUCUGAUGUUUAUUUCUUUUGAUAGAUCAUCUGAAGCUGAACUUUCUUUUGAAGGAUCACCUGAAGUUGUACUUUCUUGUUGGGCAACUUCUCGAGUCCCCACAAAGGACAGGGUAAGGAUCCACCAAUGUUAGCUUUUAAUUAUAGGAUAAGGCUGUGAUGAUGACAAAUGAAGUUGUAUAGGGUUGGGUCUGGCAUUGGAGCUACCCUUAUCUUGGGGAGGCAACCCGUUAAGGCAUCUCCGUUUUGCAGCUGAGGUCUGCAGCCAUUGUGGUUGUUUUGUCUCCUUUUGCCUGGUUAAAUCUGAGCCUUAGGAGAAAGAAUUAACUGAAAGACACUUGAAGUCUUGUGAAUUUCCUUCUGUUAGGUUAGCCUAAAAAGGCAAGAAUGAGGCAGCAGAGAGCAUGGAUUUCUAUCAAGGGUGGUUUCCUUCUCUUUAAACUUUUCCUAUGAGUACAUUUUGUAAAACAAAUCAACAGCUCUAAAAAAAGAAAGAGAAACUGAGAAUACACUUGAGUUUCUGGGUUUCUUUGCAUUUUUGCAUUCUUAGACGUAUGCUCAUAAGGCAAUACACACAACUAUGCUACAACAGCUUGACUCUGAAAAUUAUUAAAGAGGCAGUGAUGAUUUUUGGGCUAACUAAAUUUGGGCAUUGAGAUUACUCAACCCGUAUCAUUGCGGGGAAACCUGGUAUGGCCUGUAAUUGAGACGCAUAAAUCACACAUGCAAUCGUGUAUUCCAGCCAUGGCGUGGUAUGCUUCUCUUUGGCCUUACAUAACACAAAUCUGAGCCUCAAUUUGCUAAAGAGAAGGGAAAAGGGUCAAAGUUACCUCUUUUUAUGCACAAGGGGAAAUAUCAUUUCCAUGAUUAAUGUGGGAGAUAUUGAACCCACGCACGUCGUUCUGAUUAGCAAUUUUGAUGCUUUUAAUUCGUAAUGUGUCGUCAUCUUUUGAUAAAAACCAGCUCAAGAAUGAGGCAUUCGAACGAAAUGUUGAAUUAUUGAGGGGUGGUUGCCUCCCUCCUCUUGUAAACCCUAAUUCUAUUUUUGAAGUUUUGCAUUUCUAUGCAUCUUUUAUAGCUUCAAAGUUUAGAUUCCUCCCACUGAUGGAUAUAUGUCUGUCUAAAUGUGGAAAAAAACAUGACAAUCACUUCUUUUCAGGCUGGUUAGUCCAUUUUUAGGUUUCAAUAACACUGUUAAUAUCAGUUCUGUGUUCCAUCUUGUUGAAACCAAGAAGGAUUUUUGAGGGUUUAACCCUUUGAAGUGUCAUUGUUGUGUAUUGUCUCUUAAGGUCCAUUUUAUGUUUUAUUUGGGUUGAUUAUAGCCAGUGAAUUAUGAAUUGUAACUUUAAGGGAAGAUCUUUUUUGUUCAAACAUUCAAAUGAGAGGCUCUGAUAUCUAUUUUUGACGUUUCUUUGUUGGAAAUUGUUACUAAUACUCAUUGGAGGCCAAACGGACAUUGUAAGGAUUUGAAGGUUAAAUUUCUUUGAGUUUUAGUUGUUAGUAUUCAUUAAGAUAGCUUUCAAACAAAUCCCCUAGUCUUUGUUCUUGCCAUUGUUUACAGGAUGACAAGUGUUUGUACCUUGGAAUUUGAUGAUUGUACACAAUAUAUUGGCACACCAGGUAAUUCUGUAUAAGGAUACCUGACGUGCUGGUUUUGUCUUCUGAGGUAUCCGGUGCUUCUGAGCUCAUCAUGAUUUGGCUUUGCACAGCUCAAUUUUUUUCACUCACCAAACCACCCUUUUGGUGAAAUUACACGACUUUCCAUUUUCCAUAUUUUUAGUACUCUUUCCGGUGUAACUCAAAAGGGCAAUCAAACAUGUUUUCUCUUGAGCUGAAUAGUUGUUGCUUGGCAUGUCAUCUCAUGUGGGUAUGUGAUUGAAGAAGUACCAUUUAUUGGUGUUUUUUCUAUCUCUAAAAGCUAACUAAUGCUUGCAGCCAUGACAUGUUUCUAUGCUUUUGAGCUGAUUCAUGUUUUGAGAUGAGUUUCUUUCCCAUCUCUCACCGGACCACCCUUUUCGUGAUAUUACACAUGCACUUCCUCUUUUCUUGUUAUUAUUACUCACUCUACUUUGUUUAAUACACAAUGAGGAUUUGGAGGUUUUCAUCUAUUGAUGUUCAAUCAAACAUGUCUCAUGUCGAACUAAGAAACUGUUGCUUGGCACGGCACUUCAGGCGGGUCUGUGAGAUUUGGGAAAUGUUCCUUUUUUUGGAUUGCAUGCAUUACUCAACUAAUAGGCUGUUUGACGGUUUUGUUCAUUAAUAUCUUACUAAUAUCUUUUUUAUAGAUGUUCUUUAUUUAUUAUUUUGUGGUUUUACUUGUAGUUGGGAGAACUGGUAUGACUGUACACAACACAAAACAUUAAUGCUUACAUUUUAUUUUGGUUUUAUUGCAAGAUGUUUAUGUAUAUGGCAUUCCUGGUACUUCAUUUCCUAUAAAAUACUUCCUUUACCUGUACCGUGUCUAAGAAAAAUAGGGAAGGGCUGGAGGGGUGUACACACACUCACAUACAUACAAAGAGAGAUGAAAUAUAGUUUUUGUUGCUCACUAAUGUAUGUAGAGAUGUUUUGAUCACUUCUCCUUGUUGAAGUAUAGUUGGGACAUACAUUUUGGUGCGUAGGUACUUCUAGCCCAGCUUAUGGAGAGAGUAUAUGUGCCUGUUUCUUUCAUCUUCUGUUAUAUUUCCUUUUUGUGUGGCCAUUUUAUCUUAUGGUUUUGAAUGCUUGCUUUACACCCGUGACGUUGAAAAUACACCAUUCAGAUGAUAUGCAUGCUUUCCCAGCAAGCUUUGAUUGGAAAGGAGAGGCUCUAAGCUCUUAGAUUUCUUACAUUUCUUUAUUGGAAAUUGGUAGUUAAACUCACAGGAGGCCAAAUGGAUAUUGUAAGGUUUUAAAGGUACAAUUGUUUUGAGUUGUAGUUUGCAGUAUCCAUUAGGACAUGUAUGAAACUACUAACUUGGCCUUUGUUCUUGCCAUUCUUUACAAGAUGGCAGCAAGUGUUUAUACCUUGAUUAUUGUAGACAAAAUAAUUGUACAACAGGUAAUCUGCAUAUAAGACUACCUGAUACAUGAGUUGUCUGUUGUUUACUGAUACAGGAAAUUUCUAGGGAUUUCUCUUUGCAGUCAUUGUUCGUGAUGCUAUUACAACCAACCAGUUCGAAGGAAGCAAAUGUACUCGAAGUACUUCUAGUUUCUGACAAACAAAUAUAAAAUAUUGAAUUACAAACAUUACUUUCUAAAGCUGUACUAUGUCUUGAUUGAUCUUUUUGUUUGCAUAUAUAAUCUGAAAGGCCAAAGAGGGUGUUGCAUUCUAUGAAAGAGUCUCUGCUAAAGAAACACCUCUGUGCUUUCCAAUGUCUCCUUCAAAAUUUCCAUUUUUGUUAUUUUUAGUACUCUUUCCGGUAUAACUCAAAUUGGCGAUCAAACAUGUUCUCUGUUGAGCUGACAAACUUGUGCUUGUUAUGACAUCUCAUGUUGGUCAUACUUUGGAGAAAGUUUCAUUUUAUGGUGUUUAUUCUCAGUAUCAGAAGGUUGUGGCUAAAUGAUGCUUACAGCCAUGAAAGCUUCUAUGCUUUUGAGCUGAUUCAUGUUUUGAUCUGACAAUGUUCAGUUCCUUUCCCACCCCUCAUUGAAUCACCCUUUUCGUGAUAUUGCACAUGCACUCCCUCUUUUGUUGUUCUCAGUACUCACUCUGCUCCGUUUUAUGUACAUUGAAGAUUUUUGGAGGUUUUCAUCUGUCGAUGUUCAAUCAAACAUAUUGCCUGUCCGGAUAUAGAAUUGUUGCUUGGCGCGACACUUCAAGUGGGUCUAUGAGAUAUUUUGAGAAGUUCCAUUUUUUGGUCUUUCUUCUCUGUCUCAUAGGCAAACUGAUGCUUGCAGCCAUGUUGGAUUUCAAAAAUUUUGAGCUAAUCAUGUUUGGGCAUCGCAAAUUCAAUUCAUUUGUCGCUAAAUCACCCUUUUUGUUGAACUACACAACCUUCUACUUUUCUUGUUCUUAUAGCAUGUUCUCUCUUGAGCUGAAAACUGUUGAUUGGCAUGGCAGCUCAGGUGGCUAUAUGAGAUUUAGGAGAAAGUUUCAUUUCAUGGUGCAUCUUCUCUGUCUCUUAAGGCUUACUGAGCCAUGACAGGCCGAUGCUUGCAGCCAUUCUAGGUGUCAAAGCUUUUGAGCUAAUCAUGUUUGUGUGUUGCAAAGUUCAAUAUUUUUGUCGCUAAAUCAUCCUUUUUUUUAAACUACACAACCAUCUUCUUUCUUGUUCUUAUUACUCUAUUGUAUUACUCAAUCAAGAGAAUUUAAUAUCUCUCUUGAGCUGAAAUACUGUUGCGUGGCAUUGCACCUCAUGUGGGUCAUAAGAUUUUGGGAGAAAGUUCCAUUUCAUGGUGCAUCUUCAUUGUACCAUAAGGCUAUAACUGAUGCUUGCAGCCAUGAAAGAUUUUAAAGCAUUUGAGUUGGUUUUUGUUUUGGCUUAGCAAAAUUCAGUUUCCUCCCCCGCUCCCCCAAACCACUCUUUUCGUGAAAUCACACAUGACCUUCCUCUUUUUUUUAAAAAUUAUUCUCUUUGCUCCGUUUAUAAACCUUGAGGAUGUGGAGGUUGUCUUCCGUGGAAUUUCAAUAAUUCUUGUUUUCUCUCGUGCUCAUUAAAUGAUGCUCGACACCACUCCUCAGGUGGGUCUAUGAGAUUUUGGAAUUAAAUUUCCAUUUCAUGGUGUUUCUUCACUAUCUCACACGGCGAAUUGAUGCUUGUUGCCAUGACGGAUUUGAAUGCUUAUGAGCUAAUUGUGUUUUGGUUCGGGAAGUUCAUUUUUUUCUCUUACCAAAUCACCCUUUUGGUGGAAUUGCUCACGUCCUUCCAUUUUUCUAAUUUUUAGUACUCUUUCUGGUAUAACUCAAAAGGGCAAUCAAACCUGUUCUCUCUUGAGCUGAAAAACUAUUGCUUGGCAUGGCAUCACAUUGGGAUUUGUGAGACUUUUGAAGAAGUAUUAUUUCUUGGUGUUUUUUCUCUGUCUCAAGGUUUACUAAUGCUUCCAGCCAUGACAUGUUUCUAUGCUUUUGAGUUGAGUUUAUUUCCCAUCCCUCACCGCAAAACCCUUCUUAUUGCACAUGCACUUCCUCUUUUUUUGUUCUUAGUACUCAGUCUGCUCCAUUAUGUACACAAUGAGGAUUUGGAGGUGUUCAUCCAUAAAUGUUCAAUCAAACAUGUCUCAUGACGAAGUAAAGAACUGUUGCUUGGCACAACACUUCGAGCGGGUCUAUGAGAUUUUGGGAAAUGUUCCAUUUUUUGGUCUUUCGUCUCUGUCUCAUAGGCAAACUGGUGCUUGCAGCCAAGCUGGGUUUCGAAGUAUUUGAUCUAUUCAUGUUUGGACGUUGCAAAGUUCAAUUUUUUUUGUCGGUAAAUCACCCUUUUGGAGAAAUUACACGAUCUUCUACUUUUCUUGUUCUUAUAUUACUGAUCUCUUGUGUAACUCAAAAAAGCAAUUUAGCAUGUUCUCUUUAGAGCUGUAAAUCUGUUGAUUGGUGGCAGCUCAGGUAGGUAGACCAGAUUUAGGAUAAGGUUCCAUUUCAUGGUGCAUCUUCUCUGUCUCUUGAGGCUGUCUGAUAUUUAGGAGAAAGAGAGCUGUAGCAGCAUAUUUUAGAACCCACCACCUCAAAUACACCGAUCGCCUGUAUUCCUCCCAGAGCCUUCACAGGAUCAACUCUUAAGAUGCCCAAUUCUAGCCUUCUUUUUAAGAAAAGAUUUAGAACUUGGUAUCAAGAAAGAAACCUAAACACAUUUUUCCCUGUUCUUAUCUGCUGGAAAAUUCUUGCAAGCCUUCUUUAGAAAAAAUCAAGAAUUUUUCAGGAACUUGGUAUCAAGAACUUUGCUUUUUGAAGUUACAUUGGUAUUCAAAAGUACAUAUUUUCAGGAAAUCAAGAAUUUUUGCAUAUAUGCUCUUUAAAAAAAUUCUUGAAUUUGUUGGCAUAUUUUAAGGAAAUAGUAGUUUUCAAGAAUAUAUUGGUAUUGCACAUACAAGAAAUCCUUUUUGAAAAUAUUAUGUUGUUAUUCUUGCAAUGUGUGUUAAGGAUGUUCAAGAUUUUGUUUUUACCUUUUUAGUGAGAUUGGUGCUAUGGUAUGGUGGAUGUCAAUGGCAAGUGUUAGUUUUUUCGACAUUGAUAUAAUGCACUUUGAUGUGCAGUAAGUUCUGUUCAAUUUAUUAUAUAUUAUCAUCUGCUAUAUUUUCUUCAUGGUCUCCUUCUUUGUACCUGAAUUUGUCGUACUUGUGUCGAGGGUCUUUCGAAAUCAACCUCUUUUGCUACACGAGGAAGUUGAAAGGUUUGCGUACAUACUCCCUCCUAGACGCCUACUUGUGGAAUUUCACGGGAAUAAAAUGGAGCCCUAAUAUGGUAGAGACAAGUAUUAGAGAAGCACGGGUCCUCAAUCCUGCCACAAGGAAUAUGAAUGUUGAAGAGAAUAAGCUUAUGGUGGCUAUUUGAUUUUUAAUGUUACUUGUAAGAUUGGGGCCCCAUAAGGUACUAUCGAGAAUAUCUGGACUAGAUGUGACUCUCGGUGAGAGCAAUUGUACACGACAUUCUUAUGCAACAUCACAUUGAUGUACUGUAUUUGAUGUUAUUUGUACAUUUGGCAUUGAUCACUUCACAUUUCCUUCCCUGUAUGCUGUAGCCCCCCGCCUGCCUCCCUAAAGGGGGGGGGGUGUGACAAAUUGUGGAAGUUUGGUUAGUGGAAGAGAGUUAAGAGUUACUUAUGCAUCACAUGGUGCAAAGCAUUUCAGUGUUAUGCCAUCGUGUAGUUAUAUCACAUUCUUUUCUCUUUAGUUACUUUUGGAAAACCUAGAUAAGAAUUUAGUUGUUGAACUAUCCUCCUCAUCUAUUGCUAUCCCAUUUUGUUAUCCUCUUUUCAGAUAUACCUGUGAAUUAUGAGAUCAGGAAAAAGAGGUGCAGGCCCAGAGUUGCAAAGCGAAACUGAACUUCCUUUCCCGCAGACAAAGAAACUGACUGGAUAGUGCACUGUCAGGAGAGAGAUUUGAUCUUCACAGAAUAUUAUGUGGGGAAGUGCUUCUGAAAAGCAUGAUCCCAAGUCCAAAUUCCCCUUGUCAGAUCAAAAGUUCAAGUCGGUCAAUCGAUAGCUCUCUUGCUCAUUGCAGAGUCUGUCUGAAUUGGAUAUCCAGAAGCUCUGUAUAACCCCUUUCAUCUAUACAGAGGAUAAUUUCCUGGAUAAGAAAUUCGUUGCUUCAGAUAGAUCCAAACAGUAAUUGCUUACAGAUCAAGCUUCAUUUAUGCGAUCAGGGAGAGGUUGCUGUAUUAGAGAAGGAAACCAUUUAUGCGAAGACCUAUGCACAGAAGUCUGACCCCUGAUGGAUCAUCCUUUGAUAGUGAUGAAGAUACUACGUUUGAAAAAUGUAAGUACAGAAAUAAACAAAAUCGCCUUGAAGAUGAUUAAGAGUGUUGAAUUUGAAGUAGCUGAUGAUGUUAACCAUGUCUUGAAUCACAUGUCUCCUGGAUUGUUAGAAACUUGUCCAACUCAGAUCAAGGUAUUGCACGGGGACUGGGAGGCAUAAUAGUUGUGACACAUGCAAGUUGACCUGAACAUCACCCUCGGAAUUUUUAUUUUUUAUUUUUCUGCAGAGAGAGAGAAGGCAGGUUUGGUUGAUUUGCAUCAUAAUUUCAGAUUCCUGCUGCUCUGUUUUGGUAGAAUCAGCUUGUUCAGGUUUUUCUAAUCUUUUUGCCGUUUGGUGAUGUAGUUUCUACUUUCACGUUUUUCUGAUUUAAUCGGCUUUUGAGGUACUCUAACUGUGCUUAGGAGGUUGAUGACCAACUUACAAAAAAUUUAUAAUGUAUUCUCAUAGUAUUUGUUGAUGAAGUCCUAAUUAAAUUCGUCCAACGAAUGGGAAUUACACCCCGAUUAUUAAAUGUUGUUUUGAUCUAUUCGAUUCGAUGGGGAACUUUAGGAGUUCUUCAUUUUGCUUUUAAGUGCUAUAUUGUGGACUCUUUGUUGACAUUAAGAAGGGAAGAGCAUAAACUCAACAUGUUUUGUUAAACGGUAGCCUCUUCCAAUAUUUGCCUUUUCUCUUUUUCUUUGAUCCUUUUCUCGAUGUUGACAGUAGUAAAAUCAUCUUUCUCCCUCAAGAAUUGGAGCUUGAGGUGCUGCUACCACAUUCCAACAAUUACAUAUCAAACUUCUUCUGAAUCUUUGCAUUCAUAAUCUAGAUCAGAAGUACUCUUGAGUCUUAAACUUGUUGCUUAUAAUUCAAAUAUCUGAUUUCAAUAGUAAGUUUAAUACAUGGAUAUAGAAGCCAACCAACUGAAGAAAAUUAAACGUGUGUGGCUGUGCUUGUUUGUAAAACAUCACCUACAGUAGUAUCUGAUGGAUGUUUACCUGAGGGGCUUUGCAGCUUUGUGGGGUUCUUUGAGGGAUUCAGGGAUGCACAAUUUCACUCCUAUGUCAUCUGUUCAUUCCAAUUGCCAAAAACUCUUGUAAAUAUACUUACAAAUUUAAAUUCUGUAGUUCCUUGACUUCAAAUAUGUUCUCUUUGAAGCAUUAUUCGAGAUCAAUAAUCUCAUUUGUUGAGUAUCUGUAUUUCUUCUUCAGAUUGUAAGUGUACCUGAAGAGCACGGAAACAUCCACGUGGCAAUACUAUUUACGUAUACUGAAUCUAUUUAGUGCCUAUUUAAUCUGCAUUAUCUUUUUAAAAAUUGCUGGCUUACAAUUUUGUGGGAAAAAUACUUAACACUUGUUACUUUGAUGGUAAUAUAGUUUAGUGCUUUUUAGAAUCAAUUGGACUUAGUUGGGAGUGGAAAACAAAUCUCUACGAGGAAAGAAUGUUUGACCGAGGAAAGAAUGUUUGACCAAGGAAAAUCAUAUGUUAGGCACUGACCUAUUCAACAACAAGAAACAGAACGUCUUCAGCUAGACUACACUUGUGUUGGGAGGGGGAGGUCAAGUGAUGAUCUCACUGCAUGUGGGCUCAUAUCUGAAUUUUUGAGGUGGUUUUCAGUUUUAGUGAGUUUAUCUUUACUGAUGAGUAUCAUCUUGUUCAGGUUUGUCUACUGUUUUUGCCUUUUUGCGUUGUAGUUUCUAGUUUCUCAUUUAGAUGAUUUAAUCGGCUGUUUUGGAACUCCAACUGUGCUUAGGAGGUUGAUUACCAGCCUUAAAAUAGUCAUAUCAUGAUGAAUCCUCAUAGUAUUUGUUGAGAUGAUGUCCUAAAGAAAUUGUCCCAACAAGAGUGAAAUACACCUGACUUUUAAAUGUGGUUUCGAACAAUGAUUGGAUGGGGAACUUUAGGAGUUUGUUUGUUUCGCUUUAGGUGCUAUCGUGGACUCUUAGCUGCUGACAUUAAGAAAGGAAGUAAACUCACUAUGUUCUGUUAAAGGUAUCCUCUUCCCAUAUUUGCCUUAUCUUUCUUUGAUCCUUUUUUUCUUGUUGACAUCAGUAAAAUCAUCUUUACCCCUCUAGAUUUGGAGCUUGAGGUGCUGCUGCAGCAUGCUAACAAUUACAUUAAACUUUUUCAAAUAAAUCUCCGUAUUUGCAAAUUCUUUGCACUUAUAGUUUAAAUCGAAAGUACUCUUGAACUUAUAGCUUAUUUUUCAAAUAUCUCAUUUAAGUACCUUGACCCAGUAAAAUGCUAUAAUUUUACAAUGGUAGGUUUAUACAUGGAUAGAGAAGCCAACAAAAUUAUGAAAAUUAAGAGUGUGACGCUGUGUGUUUGAAAAACGUCAUUAGUCAUUACACCUGUUGUGAGAAGUCUUUUGAGGUUCAACUUGCAUGCAUUUGAGAAAUUAUUUGUUUAUGAAUUUUCGACUACCAGGAGAAGAAAAAAAAUAUGAUGCUUGAAGAUGAAAGAGAAUAUUUGAAGUUGAUGUCCUCUUUUUUUUUUCACAUUUCAUAUUGUUUCUUACUUCGUUUUUUUCCUUUUAAUUGUGGAUCCUUGUUUUUGCCCUCACAGAACGUAAAAAUGCUCUUUGCAAGAAAUACAAGCAAUCAACUUGAAUAAUGUAAUCUUUUAGCUUAGUGCUAUUUAGCUUUAACGUACGAUAUUUCAUUCCUCUGCUAAAGGAAGUUUAUGUCUUUAUCCACAACACAUUCACAGGAAAAAAGGGAAAGAGAAGAAGUAGAAGCAGCUCUUGAUAAAAGAAAAUGAUACUUCAUUCUGAUACACUAUCAAAAUCAGUCAAUUUACUGCUAAACAAUUUGUUUUGAUGUUACAGGUCAACUUACAGUUCACCGAGAAUGCACUUCCAGUUGUUGUUGAGGAAGGCAUUGCCAAAAGCAGUGGUGCACGAUGCUCAAGAUCUAUACUAGAAAGUAUUGUGACUGAAGCCAUGUUUGAGGUAGAAAGUGAUGAUCUCACUGCCUAUGGACUUAUACCUGAAUUUGUGGCACGGCUUCCAGUUUUAGUGAGUUGUAUUCCAUCGAUAAGAAUCAGCUUGUGCAGCCAAUUAAACUGCAACUGUUUCCUUCUGCUGGUAGAAACUAGGGAUAAUAUAAUCUUUGGAGGUCCCCAAAAAUGGUGAAUUUGACUCUUACAAACAUACUCUGCGAAGUUUGACUCCAUUUUUGCUGAUGACAGGCAGGGACAAAAACUACAUAUAUUUAGCAACUUCUGAUUUGCUAAAUGAGUUAAGCAAAGAGGGUUUUAAACUAAAUGUUUCUGGAUUGGCUGUGAAAUGGUUUGUGAGCAGCAAAUUCAAGAGAUGGACUAAUAGGCUUUGUGAUAAAUUCUUCUUAAUGGAAAAGAUUAGCAUUGUGAUAUUGCUGGCAUAGCUUUGAAGACUUUCAUAUCUGAAGUUCCUUCAUCAUCUAUUGCUCGAAACGUCCUCGUCUCUGUAACACCUUGGACUUCGAGAAAGGUCUAGAAAGGACAAGCGGGAGAUAGAUGAUGGUCAUUGCAUAUAUGGACACGACAUUCUGCAAUCAUAAUAGAACGUGAAGGUUCCUCUGAGGAGAUUAAUCAAAUCUUUGGUUAAGAAAGUAAAGUUUAUUCAUGAAAAUGCUCACACCAGAGAAUCUGUAGAGGUUGUCUUGGUUGAUGAAGCUGUCGGAAUAGCUGAUACAGCUGGAUGUGGAGCAAAAGUUCUUCAUGGUAGUAGUUGGCUGGAGAAAUGUCUAGUGGUUGCUGGUGAAGAAAGUAAAGAAGCCAGCAGGAGGAUAGGAAAAGGAGGGUGAUUUAGGCGGUUUUCCCUAAUCGGUCUGCAAUUCCUCCAAAGAAAGUAUUUUCUGAUUAUUUUCGUUGUCAUAAUUUUACUUGGUUUUAAUCUAUUAUUUUUCUUAUUUAACAAUCCUUACAACUCGUCUGACCUGGAACAAGGUUAUGAUGAUAGCCAAACUCCAGUAGUCAGAAAAUUUCCUAUAGAAGAAGAAUCCGCACAUGAUUUGACAGCUUCUGUAGCCACAACUGUAGCUGUUCUUGCAAAAAGUCAAGAGCGGGGUAGUCUGAUUGAUGUCAACUUAUUGGUUAGGCUUCUCCUCAGCUCAGGAGAAAUACCAAAGCUGAUGAAUGAAUGUGGCAUGGCUACCAAUACUGCAAUUGUUGCUUCUCUCAAUGCUGCCAUGUCUAGGCCAGUGGAUCUACUUGUUCCCUUGCCCAGGACAAAACCAGAUGAGGUAAUUAACAAGCCCAUUAAUGGAUGCCAAGCUCCCCAUGCAGGAUUUGGACAAAGUUUUGAGCCAAAGCCAUUGGCAAAAUCUGUGCCCUUGACAAUGACUAAGCAUGAAACAUCUGUGAUUAGUGAUUUGGUUAAUGAACAAGGGACCCCUCAGUAGAAACUGCAAACAUUAGAGAGAGUAAGUCAAUAGCCUAUUCCACUUCAGACCUUGAUCUAGAAAAUAUUAAGAAACUGAUUAGCAAACAUAGAGUACCUAACAAUGAAGGAGGAAAACCCUUGGUUAUUUCUGAGUUGGUUUCCAGAUAUGGUCCUACCAGCUGCAGCCUAAGUUAUCUCUUUCACCAAAUGUUGGCCAUACAUUUUCGAUGACUAGUCACAAGGAUAUCAACAAUUACUGCAAUUCUCUGAUCAAGCAACGUGGAGAAAAAACUUAUCAAGCAACGUGGAUACAACAUCCAUCCAACAGAUUAGUUUUUCUCCACGUUGCUUGAUCAGAGAAUUGCAAUAAUUUUUGAUAUCCUUGUGACUAGUCAUCGAAGAUGUAUGGCCAACAUUUGGUGAAAGAGACAACUUAGGCUGAUAGGCUUAUAUCUGGAAACCAACUCAGAAAUACCAAGGGUUUUCCUCCUCCAUUGUCAGGUACUCCAUAUUUGCUAAUCAGUUUCUUAAUAUUUUCCAGAUCAAGGUCUGAAAUAGAAUAGGCUAUUGACUUACUCUCUCGAUUUGCAGUUUCUACCUGAGGAGGGGUCCUUGUUCAUUAACCAAAUCACUUAUCACAGAUGUUUCAGGCUUAGUCAUUGUCAAAGGAACAUAUUUUAUCAUUGGCUUUGGCCCAAAACUUUGUCAAGAUCGUGCAUGGGCAGCUUGGCAUUCAUUAAUGGGCUUGUUAAUUACCUUAUCCGGUUUUGUCCAGGGCCAGUAGAUCAAUUGGCCUAGACAUGGCAGCAUAGAGAGAAACAACAGUUGCAGCAUUGGUAGCCAUGCCACAUUCAUUCAUCAGCUUUGAUAUUUCUUUUGGGUUGAGGAGAAGCCUAACCAAUAAGUUGACACCAAUUAGACUACCACGCUCUUGACUUUAUGCAAGAGCAGCUACAGCUGUGGCUACAGAAACUGUCAAAUCAUGUGUGGAUUCUUUUUCUAGAGGAAUUGUUCUGUCUACUGAAGUUUGACUAUCAUCAUAACCUUGUUCCAGGUCAGACACGUUGUAAGGACUGUUAAAUAAGAAAAAUAACAGAUUGAAACCAAGUAAAAUAAAGACAACGAAAGCUACAACAUAAAAAGUAAUCCAAAAAUUACUUAAUUUGAAGGAAUUGCAGACCGAUUAGGGAAAAUCGCUUGAAUCACCCUCUUUUUCCUAUCGUCCUAUUGGCUUCUUUACCAGCAACCACUAGCCAUUUCUCAUUUAAGUGGAAUUACAAAUAACAACAACAAAUUUGCUUGGUCAUCAUACUUGAAGGCAACGACCGAUAGGGUUUGGGUUUUCGUGAACACUUUAAGUACACAUGGCUAAGCCGACGGAUGUAGGGUAUUUUUUUUUUUGGAAAAAUGAUAUACGCUAAACCACCUGCUAAAUAGAAAAAGCAGCAACCAAAAAGCACGGAUCUAGGGUAUUGGGUAAGGGAAUUUGGG